UACGUAGGGGGCAAGCGUUGUCCGGAAUGACUGGGCGUAAAGGGAGUGUAGGCGGCCUUUUAAGUUAUAUGUGAAAGCCCCCGGCUUAACCGAGGAACUGCAUAUAAAACUGGAGGGCUGGAGUGCAGGAGAGGUAAGCGGAAUUCCUGGUGUAGCGGUGAAAUGCGUAGAUAUCAGGAGGAACACCGGCGGCGAAGGCGGCUUACUGGACUGUAACUGACGUUGAGGCUCGAAGGCGUGGGGAGCAAACAGG
rnacentral:rRNA from 1 species